rnacentral:rRNA from 1 species
AAGACCUUGCACUUUUGGAGCGGCCGAUGUCUGAUUAGCUAGUUGGUGGGGUAAUGGCCUACCAAAGCUUCGAUCAGUAGCUGGUCUGAGAGGACGGCCAGCCACACUGGGACUGAGACACGGCCCAGACUCCUACGGGAGGCAGCAGUGGGGAAUUCUGGACAAUGGGCGCAAGCCUGAUCCAGCCAUGCCGCGUGAGUGAAGAAGGCCUUCGGGUUGUAAAGCUCUUUCAGCCGGGAAGAAAAGGUUGCGACUAAUAAUCGCAAUUCAUGACGGUACCGAAAGAAGAAGCACCGGCUAACUACGUGCCAGCAGCCGCGGUAAUACGUAGGGUGCGAGCGUUAAUCGGAAUUACUGGGCGUAAAGGGUGCGCAGGCGGUUUUGUAAGUCAGAUGUGAAAUCCCCGGGCUUAACCUGGGAACU